AACGAACGCUGGCGGCAUGCCUAACACAUGCAAGUCGAACGAGACCUUCGGGUCUAGUGGCGCACGGGUGCGUAACGCGUGGGAACCUACCCUUAGGUUCGGUAUAACUCCCCGAAAGGGGUGCUAAUACCGGAUAAUGUCUUCGGACCAAAGAUUUAUCGCCUUUGGAUGGGCCCGCGUUGGAUUAGCUAGUUGGUAGGGUAAAAGCCUACCAAGGCGACGAUCCAUAGCUGGUCUGAGAGGAUGAUCAGCCACACUGGGACUGAGACACGGCCCAGACUCCUACGGGAGGCAGCAGUGGGGAAUAUUGGACAAUGGGCGAAAGCCUGAUCCAGCAAUGCCGCGUGAGUGAUGAAGGCCUUAGGGUUGUAAAGCUCUUUUACCCGGGAUGAUAAUGACAGUACCGGGAGAAUAAGCUCCGGCUAACUCCGUG
rnacentral:rRNA from 1 species